CAAGUGGCCACCGAGCCAGCAGAGACCCACCGAGCGUCGGCGGAGGGAGCAGCACCAGGGCGCACGCGGGCACCAUGACCCAGACGCCUGCCUUCGACAAGCCCAAAGUAGAACUGCACGUCCACCUAGACGGAGCCAUCAAGCCUGAAACCAUCUUAUACUAUGGCAGGAGGAGAGGGAUCGCUCUCCCAGCUAACAUAGCAGAGGGGCUACUGAACAUCAUUGGCAUGGACAAGCUACUCACCCUCCCGGACUUCCUGGCCGUGUUUGACUACUACAUGCCUGUUAUUGCGGGCUGCCGGGAGGCUAUCAAAAGGAUCACCUCGGGUGUACGUGAAGGUGCGGUACAGUCCGCACCUGCUUGCCAACCCCAAAGUGGAGCCAAUCCCCUGGAACCAGGCUGAAGGGGACCUCACCCCAGAUGAGGUGGUGGCCCUAGUGGGCCAGGGCCUGCAGGAGCGGGAGCAAGACUUUGGGGUCAAGGCCUGGUCCAUCCUGUGCUGCAUGCACCACCAGCCCAAUUGGUCCCCUGACGUGGUGGAGCUGUGUAAGAAGUACCAGCAGUAGACCGUGGUGGCCAUUGACAUGGCUGGAGAUGAGACCAUCCCAGGAAGCAGCCUCUUGCCUGGACAUGUCCAGGCCUACCAGGAGGCUGUGAAGAGCGGCAUUCGCUGUACUGUCCAUGCUGGGGAGAUGGGCUCGGCCGAAGUAGUAAAAGAGGCUGUGGACAUACUAAAGAUAGAGCGGCUGGGACAUGGCUACCACACCCUGGAAGACCAGGCCCUUUAUGACAGGCUGCGGCAGGAAAACAUGCACUUGGAGAUCUGCCCCUGGUCCAGCUACCUCACUGGUGCCUGGAAGCUGGACACAGAGCAUGCAUUCGUUCGGCUCAAAAAUGACCAAGCUAACUACUCACUCAACACAGAUGAACCACUCACCUUCAAGUACACCCUGGACACUGAUUACCAGAUGACCAAAUGGGACAUGGGCUUUACUGAAGAGGAGUUAAGAGGCUGAACAUCAAUGCAGCCAAAUCUAGUUUCCUCCCAGAAGAUGAGAAAAGGGAGCUUCUAGACCUGCUCUAUAAAGCCUAUGGGAUGCCACCUUCAGCCUUUGCAGGGCAGCACCUCUGA